GCCCCCGUAACCCCCUCCCCUCCCCCGGAGGCAGCGCUGACCGGACAAUGGCCGCUCCGCCCCCUCCCCUCCAGACGCACCCCUCCCAAGGAGUCACAAUGGUCUCGCCCGGGGGAGCCGCCGCCAAAGCCCAGCAGCUGAUCAGCUGGGAUCCGGGCGUGCCACUUUGUUCAGCGCCUCAAAGGCAGAGUCCGCGGCCGGGAGCGAAGCCGACAACGUCGGCCUGUCGCUUUGCGACGGGCUUCUCAAGCCUUCGUUUGCUCACAACUUUUCAAACCUGAGGCAAACUCACAUGCCCCCGUCUGAGGAAGCAGAGCAGGGUUCCGAGUAGGUGGGGGCGCGUUGCCUCCCCCCACGCGUGAAUGGUACGCCCCGAGCGGGCGGGGAGGAGCGGAUUGCUUGUUUAGGAUCUGCUUCAGAGUCUGCAGACCUGCCUCCACUGCUGCUCACCCUCCCUUCCCGUCCUGGAAGAGAUGCCGGGAGUCCAAGAGGAGGAAUUGAGAAGUCAGGACCAUGGGAGCUGUGAUGAACGUUGGUGCUCCCUGCGAGGAGAUCCUUGUCUGCGAAAUGGGAUUACCCUGCCUUCCUCCUGGGGUUGAGUUUUACAUGUUAACUAUUGACUUCAUACUAUGGAAGAUGAAAAGACCGAGUCCCACGAUGUCACCUGGAUAUUUUAAUAGACGGGAUCUUGCAAAGUUGUCUCCCAAACAGCUGCGACUACAUGCAAACACCACAGUGCCUGACUUUUUUUUUAAAUUUUUUUA